AAUUGACCUUCUUUGAUUAUCUUACAUGAUAUAAUUUAAUAUAUGUUCAUUUUCAUUUGAAAUUUUAUCCAGCAAAUGGAUUCAAAUCAUGAUGGCGUAAUCACCUUUGAUGAAUUUUCCCAAUGGUGUUUAAGGGAUAAUAAUACAUCUCAAAACUUGACCAUGUUUGACACGAUAUUCAUGUAACCAUUGUGUAAUUGACCACUCGCUUCAAUUAAAAUCACUAAUAAAUAAAAUUGAUGGUCGGUUUAUAUUAAAUACAUUUCGGCCAACCUCACUGACCACCGGUAGAUAAACAAA